CACUAUUUGGUUUCAAAUUUGUGACGCAUACGAACAUGGUUGGAAAUACUUGUAAAGCCCAGAAUCGCUAACUCAUUUAAGCCUUGCCCUGAAAUGCUACUUUUUGAACUGAGUUAUUUUAUACACUAAUGGAGAACAUUUACCAUUCAAUGUCUGAAUCAUUUCACAUUCCCUCCGGUGCCCUAACAACAGUUUAUCCUUUUAUUUUGGACACAACAGAUGUCAGAGAGCCUGUUUUAAGAAUUCCAAUGGAACUGUAAUUAAGCAAGGCCAGGCACAUGCAUUUACCAUGUAUCAUCACCGAUGGCUAUGGAAGUGCAAACCCUAAUAGUCCUGCUAAUAUUUUUCUAACAUCCACCAUUUUUUCC
rnacentral:lncRNA from 1 species